rnacentral:rRNA from 1 species
AGAGUUUGAUCCUGGCUCAGGAUGAACGCUAGCGGCAGGCUUAACACAUGCAAGUCGAGGGGCAUCGGGAGGGAAGCUUGCUUUCCUUGCCGGCGACCGGCGCACGGGUGAGUAACACGUAUGCAACCUGCCCUCUUCAGGGGGACAACCUUCCGAAAGGGAGGCUAAUCCCGCGUAUAUCGGUUUCGGGCAUCCGAGAUCGAGGAAAGAUUCAUCGGAAGAGGAUGGGCAUGCGGCGCAUUAGCUUGACGGCGGGGUAACGGCCCACCGUGGCGACGAUGCGUAGGGGUUCUGAGAGGAAGGUCCCCCACACUGGUACUGAGACACGGACCAGACUCCUACGGGAGGCAGCAGUGAGGAAUAUUGGUCAAUGGGAGAGAUCCUGAACCAGCCAAGCCGCGUGAGGGAAGACGGCCCUAUGGGUUGUAAACCUCUUUUGUCGGAGAGCAAAACCCGGGACGUGUCCCGGACUGCGUGUAUCCGAAGAAAAAGCAUCGGCUAACUCCGUG